rnacentral:ribozyme from 1 species
AAAGAUACAUGCGAAAGGAAAACAAAAAACGAAAAGAAAGUAAAAAGGGACUCGAAAUGGAAAGUCUAUUUGAUUUGCGUCAGAAUAUAUUUGAUUUGUUUUCCCAUUGUUCGUCCUCCU